rnacentral:lncRNA from 1 species
AUGGCGGGCCUUGGUGCCAUCCAGUCUUUGUGGGUCCCGACCCCUGCAGAACCGCAGCGCCAGCUGUCAGGUCCGCCUUCCCUGCCCCAAAGCGGGGGGAGCAGCCCACAGGGGCCUUUUGCCCUGGCCACCUGUCCUGCAGCAGCUGCUGUCCAUUCCCCCUUCUUUCGCCUCCUGAGAAGCACACAGCUUCCGAGACGAGCCAGCCCCCGCAUUCUUCCUGACCCAACGGCUAGCGGCACCCCUCGCCCCCAGGAAGGGUCCAGAGAGAGAUCUCAGGCCAAGCCUUCCUCACCUCGAGGCCCUGUCUCCCUACCCCGCCAGGCAACAGUGGCUGACCCACCAGGCCCACCUCUCCCGCCUUCUUCCUCUUCACUUUCAGGAUCUUCCAUCUCUUGGCUGAAUCUGGGAGCAGAGUCUGCAAAGGCCUUCUCUUUAUCCUUUGGGGAUUUCAGCUUCACAACCCUGAGUGCUUUCAAUGUGAUGCAAGGAAUGAGAUGGCCUUCCUGGUGGCUCACAUGGUGAAGCGUCUGCCUGCAGUGCAGGAGACCUGGGAUCAAUCCCUGGGUCGGGAAGAUCCCCUGGAGAAGNNNNNNNNNNNNNNNUCCGGUACUCUUGCCUGGAAAAUUCCGUGGACGGAGGAGCCUGGUAGGCUAUGGUCCAUGGAGUUGCAAAGAGCCGGACAUGACUGAGCGACUUCACUUUCACACGGAAGGAGACAUUGAAGGGGAGGCUGAGUGUACGAGGGAUUUUGCAAAUGUUCCGCGGGCUCUCGAGAGCCUAAUGGAAGGAUGUCAGGUCAGCAUGAGAGAAGGCUACAUACUCUGCGGCUCCUUGGGACCAUCAAAAAUGGAAAUAAAGGACAUGAUGGGACCACCUAGGAUGGUCCCCAAGCAGAUUAUGGGGCCCUG